GAUGAACGCUGGCGGCGUGCCUAAUACAUGCAAGUCGAGCGAACGGACGAGAAGCUUGCUUCUCUGAUGUUAGCGGCGGACGGGUGAGUAACACGUGGAUAACCUACCUCUAAGACUGGGAUAACUUCGGGAAACCGGAGCUAAUACCGGAUAAUCUUUUGAACCGCAUGGUUCAAAAAUGAAAGACGGUCUUGCUGUCACUUAUAGAUGUAUCCGCGCUGCAUUAGCUAGUUGGUAAGGUAACGGCUUACCAGGUCACCGAUGCAUAGCCGACGUGUGAGGGUGUACGGCCACUGUGGGAGUGAGCGGCGGUCGUGACUCUGACGGGCGGCAGAGGUAGCGAAGGUUCGGAGAUGGGCGAAAGAUUGCAGGAGCAGCGCCGGGUGAGUGAUGAGGGGCUGCGGAUCGGAAGACGCUGUUAGGAGUGAAGAACACAUGUGCAAGUAACGGUGCGCAUCGUGACGGUACCUAGUCAGAAAGCCACGGCUAACUACGUG
rnacentral:rRNA from 1 species